GGGCCCGCACAAGCGGUGGAGUAUGUGGUUUAAUUCGAUGCAACGCGAAGAACCUUACCAGGGUUUUGACAUCCUGCGAAUCUCUUGGAAAACGAGAGAGUGCCCUUCGGGGAGCGCAGUGACAGGGUGGUGCAUGGCUGUCGUCAGCUCGUGUCGUGAGAUGUUGGGUUAAGUCCCCGCAACGAGCGCAACCCACGUCUUUUAGUUGCCAGCAUUUAGUUUGGGCACUCUAGAGAGACUGCCGGUGAUAAACCGGAGAAGGUGUGGAUGACGUCAAGUCAUCAUGCCCCUUACAUCUGGGCUACACACGUACUACAAUGCUACGGACAAAAGGGCAGCAAGUUCGCGAGGACAAGCAAAUCCCAUAAAACGUGGCUCAG
rnacentral:rRNA from 1 species